UUCUAAAAAAAUAUUAAUAAAUAUUAAUUUAUUUAUAGAUCUUAAAUCUAUUACACUAUUCUGUCAUUUUAGA
rnacentral:tRNA from 1 species